UUCUACCUUGGACUUGUCAUGCCGGACACCCCUCAGGACUUGAGAUUUAUCUAUUCCCGGCUCUCUGGAGAGGCAGCACAUACAGCAAAAAGAUGAAGCAGCAUCGAGCCACCUAGAGGCAAUCUUACCCAAGCCUGCCCAGCAAAGCAAAGCAGUGCUGAGAAGGAGCUGGGGCUGACUCCAGGCCUGGAAAGUGCAGGGUGGGAGGAUGUUGAAGAGAUCUAGGCCAGCAUGCAGAGUGAUUCAGCCAGGAAGUCUCAGAGUGUUGCUGUGGGAUUCCCGUCCACCCACAUUCCAUAUGCACUUUGGUACCACCUGAUCGCACUUGUCUACUCUGGCUUAAAUAUCAGUGAGGAUCCUCCAUCCUUCAGCUGGCUGGAAUUUCCAAGACAGUGGCCAUGAUUCCAGGACCCUCCCACUUCUGUCUAUAGGACACCUUCAAUGAGGACUAUAAGACAUGGAGAUGUGGUGGUGUUUACAGAUGACAUGCUGCUAGAUUCAGGGACCACCAGAAAAUUAAAUAUUUUUGCAAGUCAAAACAAUGCUGCUGUGAGUUUCAUAGUUUGCUUGUUCAACACCCAGAUAAAGAGGAUUAUAGAACAUUCUGCUAUAGAUGCAGCACUGGCAAAUGAUAUGGGACAGAAAUGCCCCCUGUAAGUUCUAGUCCCUGACCCACGCUGUAUCAUUACGUGGUCUUGCAAAGUCCCCCUUAACCUCUGCCUGCCUCAUUAAACACGUCUACACAACAGACUUUUACAAUAAUAACUUUAAAGCACGUCUCCCUUAACAAAUCUUGUAAAUGGGAAAAUCCUAUUAUUAUCCA
rnacentral:lncRNA from 1 species